GCGAAACCGUGUGAUCUACCCAUGGGCAGGUUGAAGCUGUGGUAACACACAGUGGAGGACCGAACCGGUUGACGUUGAAAAGUCUUCGGAUGACCUGUGGGUAGGGGUGAAAGGCCAAUCAAGCUCGGAAAUAGCUCGUACUCCCCGAAAUGCAUUUAGGUGCAGCGUUAAUCAAGUUUUAUAGAGGUAGAGCUACUGAUUGGAUGCGGGGGCUUCACCGCCUACCAAUUCCUGACAAACUCCGAAUGCUAUAUAAUGUUUCAGGGCAGUGAGGGCAUGGGUGCUAAGGUCCUUGUCCGAGAGGGAAAGAACCCAGACCAUCUGCUAAGGUCCCCAAAUGUAUGCUAAGUUGAUCAAACGUGGUCUGAUUGCUUUGACAGCUAGGAUGUUGGCUUGGAAGCAGCCAUUCAUUUAAAGAGUGCGUAACAGCUCACUAGUCGAGCGAUCGGGCGUGGAUAAUAAUCGGGCAUUAAGCAUACUACCGAAGCAAUGGACUCGUAAGAGUGGUAGGGGAGCAUUCUAAGUGUGUCGAAGGUGUACUGCGAGGUAUGCUGGAACGCUUAGAAAAGAAAAUGUAGGCAUAAGUAACGAUAAUGCGGGCGAGAAACCCGCACACCGAAAGACUAAGGUUUCCUCAGCUAUGCUAAUCAGCUGAGGGUUAGUCGGGACCUAACGCGAACCCGAAAGGGGUAGUGGAUGGACAAGCAGUUAAUAUUCUGCUACCUGCUCACGUUAAAAGUGACGGAGGCGAGAAGUUAGUGCGCACUGACGGAAUAGUGCGUUGAAGGGAACAGUAAUGUCCUGAUAGUACAGUAAGGCUACGGCCGCGCUGAUAAUCUAGCAAAUCGACUUCCAAGAAAACCGAGUGAAGCAGCCCGUACCGUAAACCGACACAGGUAGUCAAGGAGAGAAUCCUGAGGUGCUCGAGUGAUUCAUGGUUAAGGAACUAGGCAAAAUAGCCCUGUAACUUCGGGAGAAGGGGCUCCAACUUCGGUUGGACGCAGUGAAAAGACCCAGGCGACUGUUUAUCAAAAACACAUGGCUGUGCGAACGUGAAAGCGGAUGUAUACGGCCUGACACCUGCCCGGUGCUGGAAGGUUAAGGGGGGGAGUUAUCUUCGGAGAAGCUCUGAACUGAAGCCCCAGUAAACGGCGGCCGUAACUAUAACGGUCCUAAGGUAGCGAAAUUCCUUGUCGGGUAAGUUCCGACCUGCACGAAUGGCGUAACGAUGGGGGCGCUGUCUCCACCCGAGACUCAGUGAAAUUGAAAUCGCUGUUAAGAUGCAGUGUAUCCGCGGCUAGACGGAAAGACCCCGUGAACCUUUACUACAGCUUCACACUGGACUUUGAGCUUGCUUGUGUAGGAUAGGUGGGAGGCUUAGAAGCGGUGACGCCAGUUACCGUGGAGCCAACCUUGAAAUACCACCCUGGCAAGUUUGAGGUUCUAACCUAGGCCCGUAAUCCGGGUCAGGGACCGUGUGUGGUGGGUAGUUUGACUGGGGCGGUCUCCUCCCAAAGAGUAACGGAGGAGCACGAAGGUACCCUAAGCAUGGUCGGAAAUCAUGCGGUUAGUGUAAUGGCACAAGGGUGCUUGACUGCGAGACGGACAGGUCGAGCAGGUACGAAAGUAGGUCAUAGUGAUCCGGUGGUUCUGUAUGGAAGGGCCAUCGCUCAACGGAUAAAAGGUACUCCGGGGAUAACAGGCUGAUACCGCCCAAGAGUUCACAUCGACGGCGGUGUUUGGCACCUCGAUGUCGGCUCAUCACAUCCUGGGGCUGAAGCCGGUCCCAAGGGUAUGGCUGUUCGCCAUUUAAAGUGGUACGCGAGCUGGGUUUAGAACGUCGUGAGACAGUUCGGUCCCUAUCUGCCGUGGACGUUGGA
rnacentral:rRNA from 1 species